ACUGUCUUACAGGAACCAGACACAGGGGACUUGUGUGAUACUGAGGACACAGAGAGACAUGAUACCCAGGUCCGUGGUGCAGGAGAUCUGGAUGUGGGUCUCAUCUCAGAGACAUUACACACAUUAUCUGAUAUAAUAACAGAUUCGGAUAUUCAGAUGACUGAAACAACGGAUCCCAUUCAACGGCCCCCUUUAUUGAACAGCGUGAAUGGAAAGACCGCCUCCCCAUGUUGGAACUCCGGAUUGCCCAGGAACGUCAGGAACAAGGACUUGUGCCCACCUAAAUUCCUAGCGCGUCUAAGAGUAUGCCAUAAUCUAUAUAUUGUCCAUAGAAGCGGGUUAUCUUUCAAUUCUUGGUCAAAUUCCGCUUCUACCCCGUGAAGGAAAGAUAUAAGGUUUCUGGACCCCACAAAUUGUGCCUCCAGCUGUGUAUUAGCAUAAGUGUCACUAUUAUGUAACCAGUCUUUUAAAAACCUCAAUAAAGAAGCAUGGUUAUAUUUC